rnacentral:rRNA from 1 species
CGUAAGUAGGGCUCAGUAGGCGCGGUAAUGCAGUUGAGGCUACCGUUAUUGGGAAUGAUGGGGCGUAAAUGGGGCGUGGGCGGUUGCUUCAGUCGGAUGUGCAAUCCCCGGGGUCAACCCGGGAACUGCAUCCGAGACUGGGAGGCUAGAGUACUGGAGAGGUUGGUGGAAUUCCUCGUGUAGCGGUGAAAUGCGUAGAGAUGAGGAGGAACACCAGUGGCGAAGGCGGCCAACUGGACAGUAACUGACGCUGAGGCGCGAAAGCGUGGGUAGCAAACAGGAUUAGAUACCCUGGUAGUC